rnacentral:rRNA from 1 species
AGUGAACGCUGGCGGUAGGCCUAACACAUGCAAGUCGAACGGCAGCACAGGAGAGCUUGCUCUCUGGGUGGCGAGUGGCAGACGGGUGAGGAAUACAUCGGAAUCUACCUUUUCGUGGGGGAUAACGUAGGGAAACUUACGCUAAUACCGCAUACGACCUACGGGUGAAAGUGGGGGACCGCAAGGCCUCACGCGAUUAGAUGAGCCGAUGUCCGAUUAGCUAGUUGGCGGGGUAAUGGCCCACCAAGGCGACGAUCGGUAGCUGGUCUGAGAGGAUGAUCAGCCACACUGGAACUGAGACACGGUCCAGACUCCUACGGGAGGCAGCAGUGGGGAAUAUUGGACAAUGGGCGCAAGCCUGAUCCAGCCAUACCGCGUGGGUGAAGAAGGCCUUCGGGUUGUAAAGCCCUUUUGUUGGGAAAGAAAUCCUGUCGAUUAAUACUCGGUGGGGAUGACGGUACCCAAAGAAUAAGCACCGGCUAACUUCGUGCCAGCAGCCGCCGUAACAC